rnacentral:misc_RNA from 1 species
AGCAGCCGCGGUAAUUCCAGCUCCAAUAGCGUAUAUUAAAGUUGCUGCAGUUAAAAAGCUCGUAGUUGAAUUUCGGGACUAAUAUGUCGGUCGUGCCUCGGUACGUACUGGUAUUUUGGUUUCUCCCUUCUGACGAACCUUGAUGUCAUUAAUUUGGUGUCUUGGGAAAUCAGGACUGUUACUUUGAAAAAAUUUAGAGUGUUUAAAGCAGGCAUCACGCUUGAAUACAUUAGCAUGGAAUAAUGAAAUAGGACGUUUGAUUCUAUUUUGUUGGUUUCUAGGAUCGACGUAAUGAUUAAUAGGGAUAGUUGGGGGCAUUAGUAUUCAAUUGUCAGAGGUGAAAUUCUUGGAUUUAUUGAAGACUAACUACUGCGAAAGCAUUUGCCAAGGAUGUUUUCAUUAAUCAAGAACGAAAGUUAGGGGAUCGAAGACGAUCAGAUACCGUCGUAGUCUUAACCAUAAAACUAUGCCGACUAGGGAUCGGAUGAUGUUAAUUUUUUAAAUGACUCAUUCGGCGCCU